AUGAACGCUGGCGGCGUGCCUAAUACAUGCAAGUCGAGCGAACGGACGAGAAGCUUGCUUCUCUGAUGUUAGCGGCGGACGGGUGAGUAACACGUGGAUAACCUACCUAUAAGACUGGGAUAACUUCGGGAAACCGGAGCUAAUACCGGAUAAUAUUUUGAACCGCAUGGUUCAAAAGUGAAAGACGGUCUUGCUGUCACUUAUAGAUGGAUCCGCGCUGCAUUAGCUAGUUGGUAAGGUAACGGCUUACCAAGGCAACGAUGCAUAGCCGACCUGAGAGGGUGAUCGGCCACACUGGAACUGAGACACGGUCCAGACUCCUACGGGAGGCAGCAGUAGGGAAUCUUCCGCAAUGGGCGAAAGCCUGACGGAGAAACGCCGCGUGAGUGAUGAAGGUCUUCGGAUCGUAAAACUCUGUUAUUAGGGAAGAACAUAUGUGUAAGUAACUGUGCACAUCUUGACGGUACCUAAUCAGAAAGCCACGGCUAACUACGUG
rnacentral:rRNA from 1 species